CGUUCAUUGAGAUUUGAAAGAGAAAAGUGGUUUCGUUUAUCAAUCAUGAGUUUCAUAACACUGUGGCAGGGUUGCAAUGCAUCUCUCUUAUAAUUUUUGCAUCCUUGGAAUAAGGGGAAGACUGUUCUUCUCAUAAGGUGGUUAGUGCCCAGCAAGCUGAAGACCUAAAAUUGAAGGAAAAGAGGAAGCGGGAACGAGAGAAAAAUUUGCCUAGAAAGAAGCACAGAAAGUUGAAACUAGAGAGAUGUUGGAGGAUGACGAGCAAGAUGACAAACCAAAAGGUGAGGGGACAAAUAGGAAUGAAAAGGAUUGACACAUGCUGAUCUUGCUUACCGACGUGCAAAAGCAGGAAAAGCCACCACCAAGAGGGCACUAGACUCUGGCAAGAUUUUGAAGAAGCCUCAAAAGAAAUCUAAUAUAUCUAAUCCUUCGCGAAAGACUUCCUCUUCAAGGACAGAAGAAAUGCAAAGAGAGGUUCUGGAACAGGAAAGAAGGCGAAGAAGUCAUUCAAAAGCAAGUCAAGGAAUUUUGAGAGGAAGAGAGGGAUCGUGAGAGGGUGACUUGAGAUUUGAAGGAGGUGAUCUGAGAUACUACAUUUUACGUUGACAUAGAAGAGAGGGUGUGAAAGGCACAAGUUAGUUGGAAAAAUUUGCAGUUGACAUAGAAGAGAGGGUGUGAAAGGCACAAGUUAGUUGGAAAAAUUUGCAUAGAAAGAAGCGUAGAAAGUUGGAAGCGGCUAGAGAGAUGUUGGAGGAUGACGAGCAAGAUGACAAACCAAAAGGUGAGGGGACAGAUAAGAAUGAAAAGGCUGGAUUGUCACAUGCUGAUCUUGCUUACCGACCUGCAAACGCAGGAAAGGCCACCACCAAGAUGGCACUAGACUCUGACAAGAUUUUGAAGAAGCCUCAAAAGAAAUCUAAUAAAUCUAAUCCUUUGCGAAAGCCUUCCUCUUCAAGGACAGAAGAAAUACGGGAGUUAUUCCAGACGAAGGAUAAAAAGCCAUAAUAGAGAGGUUCUGGAACAGGAAAGAAGGCGAAGAAGUCAUUCAAUAGCAAGUCACGAAAGACAAGACUUCAAUUUGAAGGAAUUUUAAGAGGAAGAGAGGGAUUGAAAGAGGGUGACUUGAGAUUUGAAAGAGGUUAUCUGAGAUACUACAUUUUACGAAAAGUGGUUUUGUUUAUCAAUCACAAGUUUCAUAACACUGGCAGGGUUGCAAAGCAGCUCUCUUGUAAUUUUUAAAGAGACUUCUCAGGUAUUUCCACUUCUCUAGUUCUUGAUGUUAUUGCUUAUUUUUCUUCAUCUGGCACUGGCAUAUCUGAGUUAUGACCCAAACUUUACUGACAACAUGGAGGAGGAUACUGAUGAUGAAGGUCAUGAAGAGGAGGAGGAUGAGUAUGUGGCUAUGUGGUUAUUGCCUAUGAUGAAGAUGCCAGCUGGAAAGUUCGCAGAGCAGCAGCUAAAUGCUUAGCUGCAUUGAUGGUUUCUCGUCCUGAGUUGCUUUCAUAGCUGUAUGAUGAGGCUUGUCCAAAACUGAUUGACAGAUUUAAAUAGAUAGAAGAGAAUGUCAAGGUAGGUUAGGCUUUUUUUUUUUGUCUUUUAUGAUCGAAGAUUGUUUAUCUGACAUAUGAAUAUGUUGCAUAUGGAUGUAUUUAAUACGUUCAUUGAGCUCUUGCGUCAAUCUGGAAAUGUCACAAAAGGGCAGACUGAUGUAAAAGAAACGAGGCAAGUGGCUUCUGCUUUUCUUAUGUGAAAUCCUAACUGGUUGUUGAAGCAAGAACUGUCAGAGAUUGUCAAGUCUAUCAGUAGGUAGUUGCGUGAGAAAUCCAUCAAAACAAAGGUAGUUAAAUAUAUAACCAAAAAAAAAGGGUGGUGCCUUUUCUGUUUUGAAAGAACUCGUUGUUGUCUUGCCCAACUGUCUUGCAGACCACAUUGGGUCACUCAUUCCUGGAAUUGAAAAAGCAUUAAAUGACAAAUUGUCUACCUCAAAUUUGAAGAUCGAAGCGCUGAUAUUUACAAGAUUGGUAUUAUCUUCGCAUUCUCCUGAUGUAUUCCACCCUUAUAUCAAGGAAACGGGAAGAUAGAGCAUGGUUGAGAUUUCCCAAAAAUGAUAAGAGAUAGAAUUUGUUAUCGAAUAAUCAGGAGAGCAUGGUUGAGAUUUCCCAAAAAUGAUAAGAGAUAGAAUUUGUUAUCGAAUAAUCAGGUGACUAUAUCCAAACAAACCCAUUCAUUCUCUUUAAUUUAAUAUUUUCUAAUGUUUUCUAAUGUUGAAUAUUAAUUGAAUAUUCAUUCUCUUUAAUUGAAUAUUUUCUAAUGUUGUCUCCUAAUUAAUAUUCACAUUUUUUUAAUUAUGAAUUUGGGGAUCUUUGAUUUUGUUUUUAUGAAAUAUAUGGUGACUAAACCCGUUCCUGGGAGUCAAGGAGAGCAUGGUGUUAUUGGAUCAGCGAGAAGAAUUCCUUUAAAUGAUAUUGCAUAGGGAAAUAUACAGUACAUAAUGGUACAUUUAUUCAUCGUGCAAGAUGUUCACUAAGAGCUUCGUUUAGGCGGAAUGUGGAAUCUAUCAAACCACGUCAUAUUGCAUUCUAAGGCUCAACUACAGCAUGCCUGAUGAGGAAAAUUCUGCAAGUAAUUGAGUUACGCGUUUCAAAUCAAGCAGAAAGCAAGGAAAGUCAAAACCAUAUUUUCAAGGCACAUGAGGGGAAGUACCAAACAGAAAUAAAUGCACUUGAAAACUUGGUGGUAGGGACAACCGAAGGGAAUGAGCUUACUCCCGCCGCACCGUGUAACUGCAAAAUUCUGUUCCUCGUGCGCCGAGAGAUGGUGGACUCAACAAUGGAAACCCUAGACUCAAAACCACUGUCUCCUUUAACAACCACCGAUUGCAAACCUCAAAUCUCUUCUCCACUUCCCUGUUCCAUGUUCGCCGUAGGGUUGCACUUCUAUCUCUCUUUCUCCGAUACAUUCCAUUCUCCGAUAUUCCCUAACUAACUAACUAACAACAUUCCACAUUACUCAUACAACAAUAGUGCCACUGCAAACAUGGCCAACCUAGCUUUGCCCGGGAUACUUGGAAAGACACAGAUGAUUGGGAAGGAUAAAGAUCAGAGAUAAAUGGUCACUUCUGAUCUGGUUAGUCAGUUGACCAAACCCACUUUUAGGGCCGAUUCUGAUCUCGAACUUAAAUUGAAAAAUAUCAUCAUACAACAACUUGACAUGCUGCUAGUGAUGUUUCUGGACUUGCUGUCAAAUGCCUUGCUCCGUUAGUCAGGAAGAUGAAUGAGCCAAGGGUUGUCGAAAUGAGCAGUCAACUGUGUGACAAAAUACUUAACGUGAAGGAUCAACAUCGGGACACUGCUAGCAUUGCUUUGAAGACAGUUGUUGCUGAAUGCUGAAGUUUCUACCCAAUCCCUUGCACAAUCUAAUCCUUCCAUUCUCUCACCACAGUUGAUAAAAGGAAUUACUGGCAAAUUUAUAUUUUUGGACGGCUCUUGGCAAUUUCUACUGGGAACACAAUGCCAGCAGCAGCGGAAGACACAAUGAUGGUACUGAAGAUGCUGGCCUUGUUGGUCAUAUAUUCAUCUAAAUGAGUCAACCUAUAAAAAGUGCGAGCCACUUCUCAUCUUCACGUGCGCAAAAUCAUUUUGAGCAGCAAAUGCACAUACACUUACAACUCAGGUAUACUGCAGAAGAGAAGUGCUGAUUGUUGCACUAAGAAAAGGGACAAUGAUUUGCACCGGUUACUUUUUAUGCCUUAUGGCCUACCAGACGGUGCUGAGUUGGCUUACUAUGUCAAAGGACAGUUUUCUUGAUAUAAGCCCUUCACAGUUUGAAGCCCAUGCUGGAAUGGCGGCUAGGCGUCAACCCCUGCUUAGGAUUGCAGUGUACCAGAUAGUGGUUGGCAUUGUCUAAAUUGUAACGAUAAUACUAGUGAUGGAAGACGUGUGAGGCCAAUCAUGAUUCGGUUGACACGGGUUGAUAAAGAACCAGAAUAUGAAAUGGGUGGAUGUGUUGUUUGCAGACUUGGUGGCCAAGGACUACGAAACAGAUCGAAGUUGAUUUAAAUUUCACAAAUUUCUUGGGAAAACACUUCCAGAUAUCUUUGCUCCUCCCAAGAAUCAUAAAUCGUUAUUACUCCCUGAAAAUAGACCUGUUUGUGUUACAAAACUCCCAGAGGACUGCCACUAUGAGCUAGAGGUGAAGAUUUGUGGCGGUAAAUUCAAUUUCCAAAUGUCCUAACUGGUUGUUGAAGCAAGAACUGUCAGAGAUUGUCAAGUCUAUCAGUAGGUAGUUGCGUGAGAAAUCCAUCAAAACAAAGGUUGGUGCCUUUUCUGUUUUGAAAGAACUAGUUGUCUUGCCCUACUGUCUUGCAGACCACAUUGGGUCACUCAUUCCUGGAAUUGAAAAGCAUUAAAUGACAAAUUAUCUACCUCAAAUUUGAAGAACAAAGCCCUGAUAUUUACAAGAUUGGUAUUAUCUUCGCAUUCUCCUUAUGUAUUCCACCCUUAUAUCAAGAAGAGAGGGUGUGAAAGGCACAAGUUACUUGGCUUCAAUAUUUGAUGAUCCAAUACUUGAAAGCAAUUGCAAUUAUAAGUGCAGUCCGCAGAUCCAUGUCCUUUGCAACUUCUUUGAUUGGUUGAGAAAUUCUUCUUUUGAAGUCCGCAGAUCCAUGUCCUUUGCAACUUCUUUGAUUGGUUGAGAAAUUCUUCUUUUGAAGGACUAUGAAAUUGGUGAUGGUACUACUGGAGUUGUUGUGUUGGCUGGAUCUCUUACAGGUUGGAGGUUUUGUAUGAGAAACUACUCAUGAUGAUGACUGGAAAUCUACAUAAUGCCAAGACUUUUGUAGUGGCUUUAACCAUAUGCUUGACCAUAAAUAUAUCGUUGUUUUCUGGAACGCAGCACAUUGAACAAUUCUUCAGUCAAAUUGUUACAACACAUGGCUCUGCAAAGAAUUUGCCUUGAUCAUGCACUUCAAGACUCAGUCCAAGGCUGGCAUCCUUGGAAUAAGGGGAAGACUGUUCUUCUCAUAAGGUGGUUAGUGCCCAGCAAGCUGAAGACCUAAAAUUGUAGGAAAAGAGGAAGCGGGAACGAGAGAAAAAUUUGCCUAGAAAGAAGCACAGAAAGUUGGAACUUGAGCGAUGUUGGAGGAUGACAAGCAAGAUGACAAACCAAAAGGUGAGGGGACAGAUAUGAAUGAAAAGGAUUGACACAUGCUGAUCUUGCUUACCGACGUGCAAAAGACGGAAAAGCCACCACAAAGAGGGCAACUAGACUCUGGCAAGAUUUUGAAGAAGCCUCAAAAGAAAUCUAAUAUAUCUAAUCCUUCGCGAAAGACUUCCUCUUCAAGGACAGAAGAAAUGCAAAGAGAGGUUCUGGAACAGGAAAGAAGGCGAAGAAGUCAUUCAAAAGCAAGUCAAGUUCGGUUGCUGAAAAUUUAGAAAACGAGACUUCAAUUUGAAGGAAUUUUGAGAGGAAGAGAGAGAUCGUGAGAGGGUAACUUGAGAUUUGAAGGAGGUGAUCUGAGAUACUACAUUUUACGAAAAGUGGUUUCGUUUAUCAAUCAUGAGUUUCAUAACACUGUGGCAGGGUUGCAAUGCAUCUCUCUUAUAAUUUUUGCAUCCUUGGAAUAAGGGGAAGACUGUUCUUCUCAUAAGGUAGUUAGUGCCCAGCAAGCUGAAGACCUAAAAUUGAAGGAAAAGAGGAAGCGGGAAUGAGAGAAAAAUUUGCCUAGAAAGAAGCACAGAAAGUUGGAACUAGAGAGAUGUUGGAGGAUGACGAGCAAGAUGACAAACCAAAAGGUGAGGGGACAGAUAAGAAUGAAAAGGAUUGACACAUGCUGAUCUUGCUUACCGACGUGCAAAAGCAGGAAAAACCACCACAAAGAGGGCACUAGACUCUGGCAAGAUUUUGAAGAAGCCUCAAAAGAAAUCUAAUAUAUCUAAUCCUUCGCGAAAUGCAAAGAGAGGUUCUGGAACAGGAAAGAAGGCAAAGAAGUCAUUCAAAAGCAAGUCAUGGUAUCACUUAAAAAUCUAUCUCAUUUUUUAAACUCUUAUCUGAUCCUUUUAGGCAUUGAUAAAAAUAUUAAUUUCGUUCUUGGUCAUCUUAUAAAAAUGUCUUUUGUUUCUGUGAUGGGAUUGAUGUGGAGUUGUGGACUGAGGCUUUCUAGGGGGCAACUUAACAAAUAAUGAUAUAAUCCUUUUCAUUUUCUUGAUGCUAAAAAAAAGUCUAAACAUUUUUACUUCAAUCCUCCAUAACUCUCGCAGGUAUUUAUGUGCGUAUAGUAACUAUGAUGUUCAUAGUUGUAGUUUGCCUGUGUUUUGGGUUUUAUUUUUGUCUGUCCCCAUAUACUACCAAGGUGAUGCUGCUCUAUUUUCCAACUUUACCCUUUUUUCAAAAUUCAAAUACUUUCAUAUACCCCUCCAAUCAAAACAACAUCCCGCGUAACAUAGUAACCUCUUGGCAGCGGUUUCCUUCCCUUUAUUUCUCCAAUUCUCCAACUGCUAUUUUCUUCUUAUUUUCUUGAAAGUUCGGUUGCUGAAAAUUUAGAAAGACGAAACUUCAAUUUGAAGGAAUUUUGAGAGGAUGAGAGGGAUCGUGAGAGGGUGACUUGAGAUUUGAAGGAGGUGAUCUGAGAUACUACAUUUUACGAAAAGUGGUUUCGUUUAUCAAUCAUGAGUUUCAUAACACUGUGGCAGGGUUGCAAUGCAUCUCUCUUAUAAUUUUUUUGGUUCUUCAUCUUUGAAAAAAACCAGCAAAAUCA